rnacentral:rRNA from 1 species
AGUGAACGCUGGCGGUAUGCCUAACACAUGCAAGUCGAACGGCAGCACAGUAAGAGUUCGCUCUUACGGGUGGCGAGUGGCGGACGGGUGAGGAAUACAUCGGAAUCUACUUUUUCGUGGGGGACAACGUAGGGCAACUUACGCUACUACCGCAUACGUCCUACGGCUGAAAGCAGUGGAUCUUCGGACCUUUCGCGAUUCAAUUAGCUGGAGCCGGAUUAGCUAGUUGGCGGGGUAAAGGCCCACCAAGGCGACGAUGCGUAGCUGAGCUGAGAGGAUGAUCGGCCACACUGGAACUGAGACACGGUCCAGACUCCUACGGGAGGCAGCAGUGGGGAAUAUUGGACAAUGGGCGCAAGCCUGACGCAGCCAUGCCGCGUGGGUGAAGAAGGCCUUCGGGUUGUAAAGCCCUGUUGUUGGGGAAGAAAAGCAGCAGAUUAAUACACGGCUGUUCUGACGGUACCCAAAGAAAAAGCACCGGCUAACUUCGUG